UCGUGCGAGAAAGUUCUUCGGAUAUGAGUAGAGCGGCGGACGGGUGAGUAACGCGUAGGAAUCUACCUAGUAGAAGGGGAUAGCCCGAGGAAACUCGGAUUAAUACCGUAUACCUCCUUCGGGAGAAAGAAGGCCUCUCUUUGAAGCUUUCGCUACUAGAUGAGCCUGCGUAAGAUUAGCUUGUUGGUGAGGUAAAGGCUCACCAAGGCUACGAUCUUUAGCGGGUCUGAGAGGACGAUCCGCCACAUUGGGACUGAGACACGGCCCAGACUCCUACGGGAGGCAGCAGUGGGGAAUAUUUGGACANUGGGCGAAAAGCCUGAUCCAGCCUUACCGCGUGUGUGAAGAANGGCCCCUAGGGGUUUGAAAAG
rnacentral:rRNA from 1 species